UGUUAUUGCUACUUCCUUGCACGACCUCAUUGUCUCAAGGCUUUCACCUGGAUGAAUUAAUCCCAAGUGCACACUUGUUGAAUCCAAGAUUUUUCAACAUGAUCCACCGUUUCACGCUACUCCCUUGCACGACACACCUAGUCCCAAGGAUUUCACUCGAUCGGAUCCAAAUUGCACAAUCUUGUCCAAAACCUUCAAACCCUAAAGAUCUUGAAGGAAG
rnacentral:lncRNA from 1 species